GAUGAACGCUGGCGGCGUGCCUAAUACAUGCAAGUCGAGCGAACAGAUGAGGAGCUUGCUCCUCUGACGUUAGCGGCGGACGGGUGAGUAACACGUGGAUAACCUACCUAUAAGACUGGGAUAACUUCGGGAAACCGGAGCUAAUACCGGAUAAUAUAUUGAACCGCAUGGUUCAAUAGUGAAAGACGGUUUUGCUGUCACUUAUAGAUGGAUCCGCGCCGCAUUGUCUAGUUGGUAAGGUAACGGCUUACCAAGGCAACGAUGCGUAGCCGACCUGAGAGGGUGAUCGGCCACACUGGAACUGAGACACGGUCCAGACUCCUACGGGAGGCAGCAGUAGGGAAUCUUCCGCAAUGGGCGAAAGCCUGACGGAGCAACGCCGCGUGAGUGAUGAAGGUCUUCGGAUCGUAAAACUCUGUUAUUAGGGAAGAACAAAUGUGUAAGUAACUAUGCACGUCUUGACGGUACCUAAUCAGAAAGCCACGGCUAACUACGUG
rnacentral:rRNA from 1 species